rnacentral:rRNA from 1 species
GCUGGCGGCAGGCCUAACACAUGCAAGUCGAACGGAGUUAUAUUGUAGCUUGCUAUGGUAUAACUUAGUGGCAGACGGGUGAGUAAUGUAUAGGAAUCUACCUAGUAGUACGGAAUAAUUGUUGGAAACGGCAACUAAUACCGUAUACGCCCUACGGGGGAAAAAUUUAUUGCUAUUAGAUGAGCCUAUAUUAGAUUAGCUAGUUGGUGGAGUAAUAGCCUACCAAGGCAAUGAUCUAUAGCUGAUCUGAGAGGAUGAUCAGCCACACUGGAACUGAGAUACGGUCCAGACUCCUACGGGAGGCAGCAGUGGGGAAUAUUGGACAAUGGGCGAAAGCCUGAUCCAGCCAUGCCGCAUGAGUGAAGAAGGCCUUUGGGUUGUAAAGCUCUUUUAGUGAGGAAGAUAAUGACGGUACUCACAGAAGAAGUCCUGGCUAACUCCGUGCCAGCAGCCGCGGUAAUACGGAGAGGGCUAGCGUUAUUCGGAAUUAUUGGGCGUAAAGGGCGCGUAGGCGGAUUAGUAAGUUAAAAGUGAAAUCCCAAGGCUCAACCUUGGAAUUGCUUUUAAAACUGCUAAUCUAGAGAUUGAAAGAGGAUAGAGGAAUUCCUAGUGUAGAGGUGAAAUUCGUAAAUAUUAGGAGGAACACCAGUGGCGAAAGCGUCUAUCUGGUUCAAAUCUGACGCUGAGGCGCGAAGGCGUGGGGAGCAAACAGGAUUAGAUACCCUGGUAGUCCACGCUGUAAACGAUGAAUGUUAAAUAUGGGAAGUUUUACUUUCU